UACGUAGGUGGCAAGCGUUGUCCGGAUUUACUGGGCGUAAAGGGCGUGCAGGCGGUCUGUUAAGUGCAGGGUGAAAGCUCCCGGCUCAACUGGGAGAGGUCCUUGCAUACUGGCGGACUUGAGGGGGGUAGAGGAAAGUGGAAUUCCCGGUGUAGUGGUGAUAUGCGUAGAUAUCGGGAGGAACACCUGUGGCGAAGGCGGCUAUCUGGACGGUUUCUGACGCUAAGACGCGAAAGCGUGGGGAGCAAACAGG
rnacentral:rRNA from 1 species